rnacentral:rRNA from 1 species
GAUGAACGCUAGCGGCAGGCUUAAUACAUGCAAGUCGAGGGGCAGCAUGGUGUAGCAAUACACUGAUGGCGACCGGCAAACGGGUGCGGAACACGUACACAACCUUCCUUCGAGCGGGGAAUAGCCCAGAGAAAUUUGGAUUAAUACCCCAUAGUAAAUUGUCCCGGCAUCGGGAUGAUUUUAAAGAUUUAUCACUUGAAGAUGGGUGUGCGGCUGAUUAGGUAGUUGGCGGGGUAACGGCCCACCAAGCCUACGAUCAGUAACUGGUGUGAGAGCACGACCAGUCACACGGGCACUGAGACACGGGCCCGACUCCUACGGGAGGCAG